AGUUUCUGGGCGCGGAGCGGGGUGGGCGUGUCCGAGCUCCCGGCGAGGCGACCGGCCUCACAUAUAUAUACAUAUAUAUAAACUGUGUGAGUGUGUUUAAAGAACUGCAAUUUGCUUUUUAAGUUAAAAAAUUAAACUAGUUUCAAACCUAUAGAAAUGUUGCCAGAAUAAAAAAAACCUCUUAUUUUUCAGACAGGGUUUUGUGAAGUGAAGCGGGGUGAUCAUGGGCCACGGCAACCUUGUCCCAUCCGGGAACUUGCGUGACGUUUGGGGGCCGUGCCUCCUUAGCUUCCUCCAGUUUGGGACGAUCGUGAACGCAGCUCUGUCCGGUGUUGCUUCAGGACCAGACGGAGGUCACGCGUCUGUGCGGGACGAUCGCGGAAGUGAUGCUGGGAUCCGCUCCUCUGCUUGGUCUCGGGCACAUGUUUAUUAUCUCCUGGCCACAGUGGGAGCCGUGCUCUCUCUCCUUUACAUCCGGCCGUAUUCCCAGAGCUUUCGUUUCCACGUGGCACAUGUUCAUGCUCGUUUUGGGUACCCAGUGCUCAGUACGUUGUUGGACAAAGAUACCGCAAAGGAACUGGUGCAGUGA
rnacentral:lncRNA from 1 species